UACGGAGGGGGCUAGCGUUGUUCGGAAUUACUGGGCGUAAAGCGCGUGUAGGUGGAUUGGUGUGUCAGAUGUGAAAUCCCUGGGCUCAACCCAGGAACUGCACCUGAAACUACCAGUCUUGAGUGGUGGAGAGGGAAGUGGAAUUCCUGGUGUAGAGGUGAAAUUCGUAGAUAUCAGGAGGAACACCAGUGGCGAAGGCGGCUUCCUGGACACCAACUGACGCUGAGACGCGAAAGCGUGGGGAGCAAACAGG
rnacentral:rRNA from 1 species